AAAAAAUGAUAGCUAUAACACUCAUGCGACCAAAUUAUAAUUGUCUCACAUGGUUCUAAUAUUUUAGAAGAUCCACGGCACAAAAGUAUGCAAGACUCUCGUAUUGGUACAAUGGAUUUGAAACCGAAUGGUGGAAAGAAAUUUAGGUUUCAACUUUUUAUAUUAAAAUGUCUGGCUCAUGUGGUAGGAAUGUGUAUUUUAAUCAUAAAUGUCUCUUAUCGAAAUAUUUAAUACAAAUUAAAAACUUUUAAAAUACAUAAUUUGAUUACUUUAA